AUCAUCACUGCCAAGCAAGCUGCUAAUGAUGAGAGUUUUUCCGAGAUGAAUCGAUUGAAUCAUUUAAGAGACAUGCAUAAUGUGAAAUUACUGUUUUUCGAAUUCCAUGAGCAUUUUUGAGAGUCUUUAUAAGUUUUGGAGCAAUAUUUCUGUGUUAUCCGUCAGAUGAUUCCAAACCAUCUCCUUUUAAAUCCUAAUGGGUCUGGUUUAAAAUCGAUUCCGGCUUUGUGUAAAGAUUUGUACGCUAUGGGUAUCGCACUGCAGUAAGGGUUGCAACUGGCUCAGAUGCUGUUGAACUGGAUCUUGCUCCUACGGAUCUAUAUAUGGCUAUCGAUCUGGGAAUGGAUCUGGAACUAGUGCUUAAUCUACCGAUAGAUCUGCGGGAUAAACUACUGCAAGUACCGCUACAACUGGCUUUGGUACUAGGUCAAGUACAGCUACCAAAGCUUCUGGUGCAUCUGAGCAUCGAUCUGGAACACCUGAUUCUUGAUCUUGAUCACAAGCAUCAGUCGAAAUCUUUACACAAGGCUGGUUCGAAUUUAAACCAGGCCCAUUGAGAUAAAAAAAGAGGUGGUCUAGAAAAGGUAUUUUUUCCCCCUCAAAUUACAUUGAAGGAUAGCACAGAAAUAUUGCUGCGAAACCUAAUGGCUUAUGAAGAGUCUCAAAGGAUAUUCCUACGAACCUAAUGGCUUAUGAAUCUCUAGUCAUUGGCCUGUUCAGCCGUCUUGGUGAUGGCAUCACAUUCUAUGGAGUUACAGACAAAGUGAUGAAAAAGUCUACAGAACAAUUUUACACGUUGUUGGUUCUAAUCUUUUGUGGUUGUCUGUUUUUGUAGCACAAGAUUUGUUGGACCUUUUUCGAAACCCUUUCCAGUUCAUAGGCCGGAAAUUGUGCUUCGUAGUGCUAAUGAGUGGCCAUCUAUCUCUAUAUCGGUUGCUACAGCUAUUGUUUUCUGAAAGGCAGAGAGAAGGGUAAGAGUGCUGUUCUUGGAAAAGAUGAAUCUGUGCUACCCUAGGCAAUAUUUGACAACCCUUUUCGAGGGUUGUUGCAAUUGGGCAUAUGAAAGGGCCAACAACAAAUGCAUUGAGGCUUGAGGCACAACUUCCCUCUUCUAGUAAAUCACUAAGUGGGUGGAAUGGAGGGCUCGAGGUGGAUGGUAAAAUCCGCAUAGAGAUUUCACUUUUGGAACUGGGCAAUGAAGUUCUGGAAGAAGCUGGGCAUUACUCAAAUAUGGCUCUGAAAUGCAAGUUCAACUCUCCCUGGCUCAGUCUGUCAGAUUUACAUCAAUGGGUAAUGAAUUCCUAGAGACCAUUUCUUGCAGUAUCUAUUUUGAUUUAUCCCUGUGCUCAGGGCUGCUUAGUUAUAAUUUUUGAAUCUAUGGCUGAUAGAGAUUGUGUUUUGGCAAAAGGUCUAUGGGCUUGUAGGAAUGCUACUCUUUUUGCAAAGUCUUGGUUCUCAAGUUUAAAUCAUUUAAUAAAAAUUUCAAGAUUAUUCUA